CUUGAUGCCCUUUCCCCUUCAGUUUGUGGUGGAACCUGCGCCAUUCCUGGUGCUUCUGGCUGUGGGAAAAUUGUUAUCAGUUAUGCACUUUCCAAGGUAAUGAACUUAUCAGGUGAUGCUAAAGGGAAGGACCGUCUGACGACACUCAAGUCAGAAUAUUUCUUUCUAUCUGGGUAUAGAGCUUGGGAGAAUCAAGAUUAAACGUUUUGCUGAUGCUGGGAUCUAUGCUCAGCUAUUUGAGAGUGUAAAGGGAUGUUAUUUGAGUUUGUCAAUUGUUUCAUUCCUGUGGCCCCAUUUAGUUUCUCGUUGAUGGCUAACAGACUUUUU